rnacentral:rRNA from 1 species
UACGGAGGGUGCAAGCGUUAUCCGGAUUCACUGGGUUUAAAGGGUGCGUAGGCGGGCAGGUAAGUCAGUGGUGAAAUCUCCGAGCUUAACUCGGAAACUGCCGUUGAUACUAUUUGUCUUGAAUAUUGUGGAGGUAAGCGGAAUAUGUCAUGUAGCGGUGAAAUGCUUAGAUAUGACAUAGAACACCAAUUGCGAAGGCAGCUUACUACACAACGAUUGACGCUGAGGCACGAAAGCGUGGGUAGCAAACAGG